UACGAAGGGGGCUAGCGUUGCUCGGAAUCACUGGGCGUAAAGGGUGCGUAGGCGGGUCUUUAAGUCAGGGGUGAAAUCCUGGAGCUCAACUCCAGGACUGCCUUUGAUACUGAAGAUCUUGAGUUCGGGAGAGGUGAGUGGAACUGCGAGUGUAGAGGUGAAAUUCGUAGAUAUUCGCAAGAACACCAGUGGCGAAGGCGGCUCACUGGCCCGAUACUGACGCUCAUGUGCGAAAGCGUGGGGAGCAAACAGG
rnacentral:rRNA from 1 species